rnacentral:misc_RNA from 1 species
AGAAGCAGACGAACUUGAG